GUCGGUGUGCCCGAGUGGUCGAAGGGAGCGGAUUGCAAAUCCGCAUGCGUCAUGCACACGCAGGUCCGAAUCCUGUCGCCGACU